AAAUUGCGAUAACUAAUGUGAAUUGCAUAUGCUUGUGAAUCAUCAAGUUUUCGAACGCAGCUUGCACUCUGGCCUUUAGGCUAGAGUAUACCUGUUUGAGCGUUUGUAAAGAACUUAAACACGCAAGUGUUUGAAUGGGCGCGACUACACACGGUAAUAGUGUGUGCGUCUGAAAUGGAGUCAAGUUGUAUGGUGAGUUAGCGUUAGUCUCACUUGUGCGGCCAACCACACCAUCAGCUCUACACCUCAAUUCUAAACCUCAAAUCAGGUAGGACUACCCGCUGAACUUAA
rnacentral:misc_RNA from 1 species